rnacentral:rRNA from 1 species
GAUGAACGCUGGCGGCGUGCCUAAUACAUGCAAGUCGAGCGAACGGACGAGAAGCUUGCUUCUCUGAUGUUAGCGGCGGACGGGUGAGUAACACGUGGAUAACCUACCUAUAAGACUGGGAUAACUUCGGGAAACCGGAGCUAAUACCGGAUAAUAUUUUGAACCGCAUGGUUCAAAAGUCAAAGACGCUCUUGCUGUCACUUAUAGAUGGAUCCGCGCUGCAUUAGCUAGUUGGUAAGGUAACGGCUUACCAAGGCAACGAUGCAUAGCCGACCUGAGAGGGUGAUCGGGCACACGGGAACUGAGACACGGUACAGACUCCUACGGGAGGCAGCAGUAGGGAAUCUUACGCAAUGGGCGAAAGCCUGACGGAGCAACGCCGCGUGAGUGAUGAAGGUCUUCGGAUCGGAAAACUCUGUUAUUAGGGAAGAACAUAUGUGUAAGUAACUGCGAACAUCUUGACGGUACUUAAUCAGAAAGCCACGGCUAACUACGUG